rnacentral:rRNA from 1 species
AAGACCUUGCGCUUUUGGAGCGGCCGAUGCCUGAUUAGCUAGUUGGUGGGGUAAUGGCCUACCAAAGCUUCGAUCAGUAGCUGGUCUGAGAGGACGGCCAGCCACACUGGGACUGAGACACGGCCCAGACUCCUACGGGAGGCAGCAGUGGGGAAUUUUGGACAAUGGGCGCAAGCCUGAUCCAGCCAUGCCGCGUGAGUGAAGAAGGCCUUCGGGUUGUAAAGCUCUUUCAGUCGGGAAGAAAAGGUUGCGACUAAUAAUCGCAAUUCAUGACGGUACCGGAAGAAGAAGCACCGGCUAACUACGUGCCAGCAGCCGCGGUAAUACGUAGGGUGCGAGCGUUAAUCGGAAUUACUGGGCGUAAAGGGUGCGCAGGCGGUUUUGUAAGUCAGAUGUGAAAUCCCCGGGCUUAACCUGGGAACU